UACGUAGGGGGCAAGCGUUGUCCGGAAUCAUUGGGCGUAAAGAGCGUGUAGGCGGCCAGAUAAGUCCGCUGUGAAAUCUCGAGGCUCAACUUCGAGCUGUCGGUGGAAACUGUCUGGCUAGAGUCCGGAAGAGGAGAAUGGAAUUCCUGGUGUAGCGGUGAAAUGCGCAGAUAUCAGGAAGAACACCCGUCGCGAAGGCGGCUCUCUGGGACGGUACUGACGCUGAGACGCGAAAGCGUGGGGAGCAAACAGG
rnacentral:rRNA from 1 species